UACGUAGGGGGCAAGCGUUGUCCGGAAUUAUUGGGCGUAAAGAGCGCGUAGGCGGUCCGGUAAGUCGGUUGUGAAAGUCGGGGGCUCAACCCUCGGAUGCCGAUCGAUACUGUCGGGCUAGAGUCCGGAAGAGGCGAGUGGAAUUCCUGGUGUAGCGGUGAAAUGCGCAGAUAUCAGGAGGAACACCAAUGGCGAAGGCAGCUCGCUGGGACGGUACCGACGCUGAGGCGCGAAAGCGUGGGGAGCAAACAGG
rnacentral:rRNA from 1 species